rnacentral:tRNA from 1 species
CAACUUAAGGCUUGUUUAGUGGAGCGUUUCAUUUACACUGAGAAGGAUGUUGUGCAAUUCAAUGUGAGUUGA